UUCCAUAACCGAUUUGUGAAGGGUGCGUGAUGUUUUAUGGUGGAUAUGGAGGAGCUUAAAAUGGCGAAUUUUGGUUUUCCCCCAUCUUAUAGCUGAUAUUUGGCAAUAGCUUGUACUAAAUAGAAUGACUACAAUGUUAUAGCUGCUAUUUGACAACACCUUGUACUAAAUAGCGUAUCACAAAAUCAUAGCAAUUUGUUCAAAUUCUGAUAUGCUAUAGUGUCACUACAGUCGCUAUUUGAAAACACUGAUAUGUGAUUGUAGGCUCUAUGUAUCCUAAGUAAUCUGAGUUGUGCCUUAAAUUUUCUCAAUGGAUCUUUGUUAGAGAAGUUUUCAGUCUGGUGCUCCUUAACCAGUAUGUAGCAUUUAUCUAAGGUUUUUUUAGGUGAGGGUGAAGUACGUAAAACUAUG
rnacentral:lncRNA from 1 species